rnacentral:rRNA from 1 species
UACGUAUGGAGCAAGCGUUAUCCGGAUUUACUGGGUGUAAAGGGUGCGUAGGUGGCAGUGCAAGUCAGAUGUGAAAGGCCGGGGCUCAACCCCGGAGCUGCAUUUGAAACUGCUCGGCUAGAGUACAGGAGAGGCAGGCGGAAUUCCUAGUGUAGCGGUGAAAUGCGUAGAUAUUAGGAGGAACACCAGUGGCGAAGGCGGCCUGCUGGACUGUUACUGACACUGAGGCACGAAAGCGUGGGGAGCAAACAGGAUUAGAAACCUGGUAGUCUGACUGACU